CUUCCUGUCAUCGAUGGAUGGACAUCUGUACCUAUAGCUGCAACUGUAAUUUCAACUGUAAGAUCAACUCCUCUUCCAUUUGAUUCUGGUCGAAGUAACUUUCUCUCUCUGUCAAAUUGGUAAUGCCCUAGAUUUUAUUUUAUCUCUCCUGUCAGCUGGGAUAAACCGAUUGACGGAAAAGUUUUUAUUCUGUCGAAAUUUGUUACUAUGUCACGGCCCGACCGAAGCUACCGAUUGAUUAUUAACUUUGGUUUAGAAUUUCCUCUAUAGUUUGGAUACUAUGAUUCUUUGAUGUGUCAGUCUCUGUCUCACUGCGCAAUGGUAUUGAGAAAACUAGGUUUUCCUCACAUUGCUUUUGUUUGUCAGAUAUUUUGCUUAAUUACAGUCCAUCCCUGUUAAGGUUGUGUAUUAGUAAGGAUUAUUUCCUAUCAUGGGUAAAGUAGAGUUUUUUAUUUUGUAAGUAUGGUGUUUAUCUCUUAACCAACAUCCCUUUAGUUGGGGUUUUUCUUACAAUGUUAAUGUACUAUUUAGAGGUUUUUAAUUAAGUUCUUUAUGAGUUUGAUAUCAUGAUUAUUUCACGUCUCGAAUGUCAGUAAAUUGAUUUGGGUUUUGAAUUAGGGUUAGUGUAAAUUAUUUUCUCUAUUUAUUAAUUGAGUCAUGGCGUAUUUGUUUGUAUGAAUUUAAUCAUUGAUCAAGUAAUCGUACGUUUGUGUGGUUCAGUUCUGUUUCUAGAGAAUUGUUGUCUUCCAACCUUCAUUCUCAUCCCUGUACUCAUAUGUUAUUUACAGGUCUGUGACAUUCACUUUAUGUUAACAACGUAUAAGGAGCAUACAUGACUAUGUGUUGUUCGCAAAUUUAACUUUUUUUAACUUAUUGUGGAUCAACCAGGUGAUACAUCUGCAAUAUAGUCUCCUGGUAAAAAAAAAGCUUUGGGAAGGCCCAAUGUCCAUUACGAAGAGGCUGACCAAUCACCUGGGUGAAACAACAGGAAGAAGACCAUGGGAGUUCGCAUAGUAAUUAAGCAUGCCAUGGACAUGAUCCAUCUCCUCAGAGACUAAAAACCAAUUCAAGUUAUUGUUGAUGCUGUCAUCAACAGGUUAACAGGUUAACACGACGUUGUUGUCAACAAGUUCAGUCCGAGAAGGCAAGAACUCUUUCACUAGGGAAGUCCUCUCAGCAUUGAGAUCACAUCUACUGUCGUUCUAGGAGACACCUGGCGUCUAAGUUGUUGUCGGCAAAAUCCUUAUUUAGAUUCUAUCUUACCGGAGGAAAGGAAGUUCAUAAUGUGAUUGGGAGCAGUUUACAAGAUUUGGUUAGCUAUUACAUUGAAGUAUUGUUAAACCAGGCAUGACUUAGUUCUUAAAACUCAUGACAAAGAGUUGAUUGAUUUGAAGGUUCAUUCACGAACGGACAUCUGAGAUAACAAGACUAAGUAUGAAGAAAAUAUGAGACUUGACUGAUAGGAGUUGUAGGAAGCAGCUACGUAUAAUAGCUGUGAGCUCUGACAGAUUCAUUGGUUUGAUGGUCUAUGUGUCUCAAUAUAUAUCCAGGUUAACACUCUGGAGCAAGGUGGUCAUGUAACAGGAGGACAAUGGAAGGAUUACUAUUUUCCAUAGUCAAGGAUGGGCACAAAUCUUUGCUGGCAUAAGCUUCAGGUUGAAGGGGUGUUGAGAUCCUGCAACUUGGGAUCUUCCCGCCUCAUUAAUGAUGAUGGUUAAUUUUGCUGCCAAAAAUGUUGUAUGGUAAAAACAUUGUGUGCGGCUCUAUGGAGUUUGAAGAUGGUGAUGAUGGUUAUUUCUACUGCGGACAAAUGCAACUCACAAUUACAUUGUAAUACUCAUGUUGGAAUAUAUUCAGUCUUCCUUUCGCAUCAUGAAAAAAGUAGAGUUGCUUGAUUCGUCAGAAUCUCAACCAAAAGCAUCUCAGUUCUGGACAGACGACCAACCUAAGAUGAAGAAGAGCAAAGUAAACAACUGUUGCACCCAGGGAAGAGAAAAAACAUUACAUUGUUCCCCUAACAACAGUUGACAAUCUUACUUAGGGUAUUCUGAUCAAGUAUCUUAAUCAGAUUAUGCUUACUGAGCAUGAAAGAGAACUUGGUGAAACAAAUGAAAAUAGUUAAAACUGCAACAAACUUGCAACAGCUUCUGGAUAGUAUUGCAGAAGAUGGCCGGAGGUGGUUAUCUUAGACAAAUGAUAUAAUUAGUAGCCCAAUAGCAUUUCUAUGGUACUACAAAGGUUGAUGCAGUUAAAGUAAGAUAAUUUUAUCCCUAGAUAUUUCCGUUGACUUUAUCUUAUCGAGUUUUUUGAGUCUCUUUUUGUCCGAUCUAUUUCAACUUUGUGGGGAUGGCAUAUUCUUUUUUUCCAUGGUUUAUAAGAAUGAUUUUGUUAGCAUCAAAGAUUCUGACAUCUUUGUCGCGGUGAAUGAGUUCAGUUCUACCAUAAAAUUAUGGGUAUUGGUAGCUGAGUUGCUGGCAUCGUCUCUGUAUAUGACAACAGUGGAUGUUACCUAUAUUUGGCAUCUUUGCUUAAUGGGAAAAUCGCUCACUGGCCUGAUUGCAGAACAUGUCCAAGACUGCCAGCAGGUUUCACUAAGGAGCUAGAGGAUGGCUGCAGAGAGGAUGAUGGAGGUUCAGAGAGGAAGACAGAAGCAAACUUAAGAUCAUAAUGUUGGGGUUAGAUGUGUAUAAAGCAGGGUGUCAGGUACAUUCUCUUCUUGCUGUCUUAGCUCUUCUUGCUGUCUUAGCUCAAAUGGCAGAGCGCAUGGUUUUAACCAUGUAGUUGUGGGUUCGACUCCCGCAGAUGACGUAGUUAUUUGAAUAAACCAGAACUGUACAUGCUUCAGAUACCAGUAUAUAGUGCGACAUAGGUGUACAUGUAAAAAAAACAUUUUAUCUCUAUACAUUGUUUUCUAUCAAUCACAUACUAAUACUGUUUUCUCAGCACUUUCCUUUAGAGGAGAAUAUGUUGAUAGUCGGACAUCAUUAAUCGUUACAGUACU